AUAAAAGCAGGGAUCUAUUGCCAAAUUAUAAAGUGAAUCGAUCUCUCGUAAACAUCAGGGAAAUAGAGCUGGGCAUCGUUAUUGGGUGAACCUCUUGAAUUCUUACAUGAUGGACAAGGUUCAGUAAACGAAGCUAUAUUU